rnacentral:lncRNA from 1 species
UUAUGACCCUAGGAACAGACCAUAGAUACUAUGUUGGUACUUUCAAGAAUAUAAACACUAUAUUUCCAAAAACCAAGUCAUCCUAUUGAUCUGUCUACAAAUUAUGUGUGACACUGUGAGAAAGAAGAGAGUAGGCUCCAUGUCCAAUGCAGAGCCCCAGACAAGACUUGAACUUACGACUCUGAGAGCAAGAGCUGGGCUGAGACCAAUAGCUGGACACUUAACUGACUGAGCCACUCAGGUAUUGAGCCACCCUUGCAGCCCAGGAAUAAAUCCCACAUGGUCCUGGUGAAUAAUCCUUUUAUAUGUACUGCUGGAUCCUAUUGGCUAGAAAUCUUGCCCUCACCCUAAUGGCCAGACCCAGAAGGUUAAUUUCCUGGCACCGCCAUGUGGCCAGAGAAGCUGUGAGGAAGGACGGGGUGUUGCCUGGUCCGGAAGACAGCACUAUCAGAUUCAACUAAUAACUUGCUGUGUCACGGGAACAUAUUUACCCCAGCAACAUGUGAGGAAAGCUUUUCUAUUAUCUGUUCACAUGAAGGGAAAGGCUGAGAGAGAGAGAGAGAGAGUUAAGUGACCCAGAUCUCUGGUUUUGGAACCCAUAGGGCCACAGCUGAUCAUACCCAUUUACAGAUCUCUUAUCUUUACUCUUCAAAGCAUAUAAAAAUAUUAAAGAGCAGAUCAUCAAUACAAGGGAGUAAGAAACACUUUGGCAAUUCUAAUCCCUUUUGUUCUGUCUUCCAACGCAAGAAAAGAGACAUGAAUGUGUGUAUAGACCUUACUUCCUAAAUUUCUUAGUGUAAUUGACCUCAACUCUGAUCUGACUAGAUACAGGAACACUCCACUCAAAUGGAAAACACUGGUAGGAGAACAAAUGGAUGGAUAUAGAGGGAGGGCUCAUCACUGAAAAUUCUUUCUAUCCCCUUUCUACAUUUUGGUAAAACUGCCUGUGAACUCACAAUUGUCCAUAUCUUUGAAAUGAUUCAGGGUUUUCUGUUUGCUGCAUGUAAGCAGGGCCCAACGCUUUAAUGUCUGACUCAAUUUUCUGCAGUCUAUUCAUGAAUACCCGACAUGACUACAAUAAAUUAUAAAGCCUCCAGGUUCAUGUGAACACAUGCAUCUUAGGGUAACCUUUCUUACAGGUAAAACCCAUGGUAGGUCUCUAUUGAAGUCCAUUCUCUGUAAUGUGUUUCCAUUGAAAGGAAAAGAACAGCUUGCAUAAGGUGUAAGACUGUAUAUAAUGAUCGGCAUAGAUAUCUUAUAUCAGUGAAUUACAUUCAUUACGCGGUGUGUAUGUAGGUUAUGCAGCUCGGUGCCAUAGUGGAUCAGUCUAUGCUCUCUUGUCAAACUAUUCACGCUCAUAACGUUUAUUUCUGAGCCUGUCCUAUCAACAUUCCCUGUCUUUGGUCAGACCUCAAAAAUUGUUGUCUUUAAAAAGUUAAUUUAGAAUAUUUCUGGCCAUAAACUUUAAAUAUUUC